AAUGUACCUAAAAUGUGGAAGACAGGGAUAAAAUUAAACCCCAAAUAAGAGUGAGAAGAAAAAAUAAGCCUAAGCAAGGAGUAACAAGCAGACUUCAAAAAUAUUAAAGGCAAAACUUAGGCAGAAAAUGAGACCAUUUAUUCUGGAAAAGAUAAUAAAAUUAAAAAUGCCAGAGACAUUGGUUAGGGAGCCCAUUCCCACACCAUCCUCCUUAGUGUAAAGCUCAUCUCGAUAUUCUCUCUCUGCCAUAUUCUCAACUAUACCUUCUCUCUCAAAACAGAACAAUUUUGGGUUUGUUUCGUAAAAGGUUUCAUGACUUUUAACAAAGAUGAACAUGAAUGUACUCUUGGUUCAUAUGGAAAACCACAGGACCAGACCUCAGCACCACAGCUCCUGAGUAGCUAUUCUGUAAUUUUCUUAUACGUUAAUAACUUGAUCCCUAAGAUCCUACUAAUAAAUUUAAUCUUAUCAGUAAUGUUCCCUUUAUUCUCUUUCAAAAUUAAAUCACUGCACUUUUUUCCUGAAUAGGUUUAAUAAAGGAGGUCUAGAAAUGAGUUUUUUCAAGGCCCACUUUUUGGAAGAUUACUUUGGAAGCUCAGUGUUUUUAAAGAUAUGGCUGGGAUGAGAUCCUGGAGAGAGAUGAGAUGAAGGAUGUUGGGCCUGUGGUACAAUAUUCGAUUCUCUAUUUGCACCAGUGUAAAAAGGGAUAUGGAAGUAAUUCUGUGUCUGUCCAAGGUGAAAGAUUCAGUAACCGUUUGUGCAGUGUGAUCAUAGCUGCAGAGUUGGGUUGAAUCCGAGUUCUGCUGCUGAUUAGCUAUGUGACCCUGGGUCAAUUGCUUAACCACUCUGUACAUUAAAUUCCUCAGUUUAGAGUGGGAAUAUUAAUAGUUCUGGUAUUCCCCGAUUUUUGAAGGUUUGCUUUAACGCCAUUUCACUUUUAUGAAAGACCUCACAUUAGUUAUAUGUCCUUGCUAACCAAAAGAAACCCAAAGAGACUUUUUGCUUUUAGGAAAAAAAAGCAAAGAGUGAAACUAGCAUUCAGCAUUUGUUUUGCAGAGAGCCUUAUAGAGGUAGCCUGUACCCCAAUUAGAGAGAGCCAUUCCGCCAAGCUCUUUACCCAGGAACUAUACUCAGCAUCUCAGCAUCAAGCCACCAUAGCUUUGAACUGCCUGCGAGCAUCUGUGGUUUACCUCGGUUUAUUUUGUGCGUCCUUCGGCAAGAUGUAUCCUAAGGCGUUUUAAAGAUAAAUGGUAAAACUGAACUGGAAAUCCAUCUGGCUGGCUGCCGGCUCUAAUGAAUAACCCCACUUUGGCGCGUGCAAUUGUACAGCUGACUUAACUCUUCCAUGCUUCAGUGUCCUUGUUUCUAAAGUGGAGCUCAUCUCAAAGUUUUCGAAACUGUGAAAGGAAUGAAUGCACAUUAAAUGGACACAAAGCAUUAGAGAAGUGAACAAAAACAAAAUGGCGGCUUUCCUGAAGUUCAAAGGCAUCUCUGAUACCAAAUGAAGACUGACAAUCCUCCUUUCCCUGAUG